UACGUAGGGUGCAACGUUGUCCGGAAUUAUUGGGCGUAAAGAGCUCGUAGGCGGUUUGUUGCGUCGGCUGUGAAAUCCCGAGGCUCAACCUCGGGUCUGCAGUCGAUACGAGCAAACUAGAGUGUUGCAGGGAGACUGGAAUUCCCUGGUGUAGCGGUGGAAUGCGCAGAUAUCAGGAGGAACACCGAUGGCGAAGGCAGGUCUCUGGCCUUACCUGACGCUGAGGAGCGAAAGCGUGGUAGCGAACAGG
rnacentral:rRNA from 1 species